rnacentral:ncRNA from 1 species
CAACCUCAACUCAUAUGGGACUACCCCCUGAAUUUAAGCAUAUUAAUUAGGGGAGGAAAAGAAACUAACAAGGAUUUUCUUAGUAGCGGCGAGCGAAAAGAAAUCAGUUCAGCACUAAGUCACUUUGUCUAUAUGGCAAAUGUGAGAUGCAGUGUACGGAACAUCAACAUUCUAGUAUGAGAAGUUAACGAUUUAAGUCCUUCUUAAAUGAGGCCAUUUACCCAUAGAGGGUGCCAGGCCCGUAUAACGUUAAUGAUUACUAGAUGGUGUUUCCAAAGAGUCGUGUUGCUUGAUAGUGCAGCACUAAGUGGGUGGUAAACUCCAUCUAAAACUAAAUAUAACCAUGAGACCGAUAGUAAACAAGUACCGUGAGGGAAAGUUGAAAAGAACUCUGAAUAGAUAGUUAAAUACUACGUGAAACUGCUUAGAGGUUAAGCCCGAUGAACCUGAAUAUCCGUUAUGGAAAAUUCAUCAUUAGAAUUGCAAUAUUUUAAACAAUAUUAUAAUAAUAGUGUGCAUUUUUUCCAUAUAAGGACAUUGUAAAUCUAUUGGCAUAAAUAUUUACCAACAAUUAUGUCUGAAUUGCUUAUUAGAAUUAUACGCCUGGCAUUUUAACAUAAAAAUAAAAGAUUUUAAUUUGAUAUUUGCCUGAUAGAUGUAUAUUGACUACAGUGCGUUCAAUUUUUCGGAAUUAUCAUAGUGGCAUAAUUAUCACUCGAGAUUUGAGUUUAUUACAACGCAUUUAGUACCGAUUAACAAUGCCAAACGGAGUCAGGAUCCCUUCCGGGAACUCCGUCUUGGAAACUUCGGACCAAAGAAAUUCUUAA